rnacentral:rRNA from 1 species
GGGCGUAAGGGCUCGCAGGCGGUUUCUUAAGUCUGAUGUGAAAGCCCCCGGCUCAACCGGGGAGGGUCAUUGGAAACUGGGAAACUUGAGUGCAGAAGAGGAGAGUGGAAUUCCACGUGUAGCGGUGAAAUGCGUAGAGAUGUGGAGGAACACCAGUGGCGAAGGCGACUCUCUGGUCUGUAACUGACGCUGAGGAGCGAAAGCGUGGGGAGCGAACAGGAUUAGAUACCCUGGUAGUCCACGCCGUAAACGAUGAGUGCUAAGUGUUAGGGGGUUUCCGCCCCUUAGUGCUGCAGCUAACGCAUUAAGCACUCCGCCUGGGGAGUACGGUCGCAAGACUGAAACUCAAAGGAAUUGACGGGGGCCCGCACAAGCGGUGGAGCAUGUGGUUUAAUUCUAAGCAACGCGAAGAACCUUACCAGGUCUUGACAUCCUCUGACAACCCU